AACGAACGCUGGCGGCAUGCCUAACACAUGCAAGUCGAACGAGAUCUUCGGGUCUAGUGGCGCACGGGUGCGUAACGCGUGGGAAUCUGCCCUUGGGUUCGGAAUAACAGUUGGAAAAGACUGCUAAUACCGGAUGAUGACGAAAGUCCAAAGAUUUAUCGGCAGAGGAUGAGCCCGCGUAGGAUUAGCUAGUUGGUGUGGGAAAGGCGCACCAAGGCGACGAUCCUUAGUUGGUCUGAGAGGAUGAUCAGCCACACUGGGACUGGGACACGGCCCAGGCUCCUACGGGAAGCAGCAGUGGGGAAUAUUGGACAAUGGGCAAAAGCCUGAUCCAGCAAUGCCGCGUGAGUGAUGAAGGCCUUAUGGUUGUAAAGCUCUUUUACCCGUGAUGAUAAUGACAGUACCGGGAGAAUAAGCUCCGGCUAACUCCGUGCCAGCCGCCGCAGUAAUAC
rnacentral:rRNA from 1 species